rnacentral:tRNA from 1 species
GGUGGUAUAGCUCAGUGGUAGAGCAUGUGCUUAACAUGCAUGAGGUCCUGGGUUCAGUCCUCAAUACUGCCA